rnacentral:lncRNA from 10 species
GUUGAAUCAACUUUGCUUCCCAGGGAUAAAGCCUAAUUCAUUGUGAUGAAUUAGCAUUUUCCUAUGUUGCUGGGUUCAGUCUGCUAGUAUUUUGUUAAGGAUUUUUGCAUCUAUGUUUCUCAAGGAUAUUGGCCUGAAGUUUUCUGUUUUAAACUCUCUUUUAUUGUUGUGUCUCUGCCAGGUUUGGGUAACAGGGUGAUGCUGGCCUUAUAGAAUGAAUUAGAGAAGAGCCCCUCCACCUGAAUUUUUGGGAAUAGUUUCAGCAGGAAUGGUACCAGCUCUUCUGAAUAAGAAAUAACCCAUAUCAGGUGUGUGACCUUUGUGGAGUCAUUUAUAUACUCUCACAGUUCUCUCACACGGAGAAUGAGAUUAAGAACAUCUAACUGGAAGAUUUUGGAGAAAUACUCAUGGUAAAACACAUGGCACUUGGUAGGUGUUCAGAAUGAUUAUCAUCAUUAAGACCUUCCUGGCGAGAACUUCUGAUAAAACAACUCAGUGGAGGAGUAUGCUAUAUUAUUGACUAAUACGUAGUUUGAACUGUCAACUGAUUUUAUUUAUCUGAGGCAAUGCUAUCAACACAUCGAUGGAGACAACUGCAUAAAUAUCCAUUUUUGUAGAAUUUCUCUUGUAAUAAAGUUAUAUCUUUUUAUUUUUACUUCGUAUCCAAAAUUUCAACAUUGGAAACCCCUGUUUGUAAAAAGAAAAAGACACACAUAUGUAGAUGUAAGUAUGUCUAACAAUCAGCUGAAGAUGUACAAUGCCAAAUACAAAUGGUAAUGACAGGCUGAACACAGGGUCUAUCAGCCACAAAUUGACUCAAUUUACUGAUUAGUCACAUAUUUCCACUUGGAGCUAUUGUUUAGUUCUAUAGGUAUUAUGGAGAAGACCCCAUCACCCUCACCGCCACACGCAGACACAAACAUACAUAAUGUGUUGAGUGUAGUCUGAUUCUUCAGUUUGUGCAUUCAAAUUAUCUCCCUUUGGCAGAUGUGUCUUGAGCACCAACUGUGCUCACUAGCUGCAGAAUGGCACCUCUUACAGAUCACCUCCAUGAAAGGAUGGGGUGAUUUAUUGCACUUGCCCCCUUUUUUUUGAGAUGGAGUCUUGUUCUGUUGCCAGGCUGGAGUGCAGUGGCACGAUCUCAGCUCACUGCAACCUCUGCCUCCCGGGUUCAAAAGAUUCUCCUGCCUCAGCCUCCCGAGUAGCUAGGACUACAGGCGUGCACCAGCACACCUGGCUAAUUUUUGUAUUUUUUGUAGAGAUGGGGUUUCACCAUGUUGGCCAGGAUGGUCUCGAUCUCUUGACCUCAUGAUCCACCUGCCUCGGCCUCCCAAACUGUUGGGAUUAAAAGUGUGAGCCACCGCGCCCGGCCCACUUGCCCCCUCUUUGAACAAGAACCAUGUAGUCACUGCAGAGAAAUGGGGUGAGCUUAGAGACAUAAAAGAAUUCAAAUAACUUUAUCUUGCAUGUCAAAGUACUUUUUAUUUUCAGAGCUUGUCUAGUCUUUGCAAAGCUAUGCAAAUUAUAAAGCAAUUCAUUAUGGUUAAGAAAAGAGUUUUUCCCAAAGAGCUGCAAAUACUCACCAGUGACACAAAGUAAACAAAGACCCAAAGAUGGAACCAAAAGAUAGUUCUUGUCUUUAGAGGAAGAAUAUCCAAGAUGCAUUGGACAGAACAAAUAAUACCCUAGUGUGUUAAACCAUUUGAAGGGGAGCUUGAUAACUUUUUCCUCAAAGUUUUUUUGAAGAGGUCUUUUAAUUUAAAAGUCCUUUAUCACAUAAGACAAGAAUGAAUGAGAUAUAUUCUGCUUCCCUGGAACAUUCUGUAAAUUGACAGUGAGGGAGAAACUGACCCAGUGGUAUUUGUGGGCUAGACAAAUGUUCCAAUUGUUAUUUUCCGAUGUUUGAAUUUUUCUAAACCAAAACCACGUUUUAUCCUAAGCUCUUUCCCCCUGGAUUUUGGAGUCAUGUGUAUUUGGGGGGAAAUUGAAUCCAUAUGUGUUUAAUCUAUUUAUACUUAAAUCAUUAAUGUGCUGUUUUGUAAGAUUAUUUAUGUGACCAAGAAACCCUCUGACCAUCUUUAGAACUCUGCUUGUCACACCACAGAAGUCCUCAUUCUGUGAAGAGGUCACAUUUGCCCAUAGGCCCUAUAAUCUGACCUUAUUAUAAAUUCAUAAACCAGAUCCCUGGGACCAUUCUUAUUUAAUGGGUUGGUAUCACAUGAUUUCCCAAUUUCAGAAAAGGAAAUAAGCUUAUAAAUGCGCUACCCCGAAAAAGAAGAAAGAAAGAACAAAGACUCUAAAAACCACUUAUGUUUUUUUUUUACUAUUUGGAUGAGAUAACAGUAGAUUAAGAAUAAAAAUAUGCCCUACAGACACAAAUUGGAAGGAUAAUUGAAAGCAUGAGACAGAUCCAAAAUAGUGCUUGAGAUUAUCAGUAAUCUGGAAGGAUGGGAAGGAAAAAUAAAUCCUACCUGGUGGGCCCCAUAACAGACUAUACACCUAAAAGACUUGUUCUUACAGGUUUCUUGAGUAAUAGUUUUAAAAAUCACACGGCUCAUGCCUGUAAUCCCAGCACUUUGGGAGGCCAAGGCGGGCAGAUCACAAGGUCAGGAGAUCGAGACCAUCCUGGCUAAAACGGUGAAAUCGUCUCUACUAAAAAUACAAAAAAUUAGCCGGGCAUGGUGGUGGGUGCCUGUAGUCCCAGCUACUUGGGAGGCUGAGGCAGGAGAAUGGUAUGAACCCGGGAGGCGGAGCUUGCAGUGAGCUGAGAUCUCGCCACUGCACUCCAGCCGGGGUGACAGAGUGAGACUCCGUCUCAAAAAAAAAAAUAAAAUAAAAAAUAACUGAAGAGGGAGAGAAACCUAGGCAGGUUAUUAUGCCACACUGGAUGGUGUUUUAUGCAGGGCUGAUGCAAAUAACAAAUAACAAUCGUUGAGUUAACGUAUCCUGCAAAGACUUGCUAGAGCUUCCCCUUGGAAUCUCUACUGGACACAAACAAUAGGAAUCCAUGGCCUUGACCAUGGCAAGGCAAAAGAAGGUUUCAGGGGUAAGCUGAUAUUUUGAAUAUCCCAGUUCAAAGAAUCAAUAGAUUCUUCAAGCAGAACUAAGUCCAAUUACAACUCUAACCUACCACAAUAUAAAAAAUAAAGUCAACUCUAAUGGUUGCACACUUUAUGCCUAGAGAAUUUUGUAACAGCUAUUGUAAAAAACACCAAGUUUAAUUUUUUAAAAAAGCAUAAAGGGAAUUUAGUCUUCUAAUGAGUGCUGGCAACCCAGCAGGAUGUCCUGAGGUCUCUCUGUGAAUGCAUGCUGUGGAUCUGACAAGUCAUACGCAUAGAGCUGAACUGGGGAAAGCUUGGCCAAUGGCCAAAUAUUGAACAGAAACUAGACGAUCUCUAGUUUUUACACAGAUGCCUUUUUCUGAUUAUCAGAAAGACAUUUAGUGCUAAACACAUGUGAGUGAGAGAUAAAAGGUUAAUUAAUACACACACACACACACACACACACACACACACACACACACACACAAUUGUAUUGUCAUUUCCUGACCACACCAGAAACUGCAUUUCAACUCACUGCAAUUCUGCAUAGUGGCACAACAUGCCAGUGUGUGCUGAAGUAGCACCUUAGCUCUCCUGAACACAGUCAAGAAGCAGAGGGGUAGGCUCUAACAUUUAAUGGGUAACAACCACAAGCCAGGCUUGGUCUAGCCACUUUACAUACAACCAGCUUUCAAAGUAAUCCUGUGUGGGAGGGAAAACUAACACACAUUCAAUGUCUUCUCCAUCAAGAACUUUAUAUAGAUUAAUUAAGUCCUUUAAUUCACCCAAAGAGUCUGGACUGAUGUUUUGAAACUUGCCUUUUUCACAUUCUGAAGUAUUACAAAGAUUUUCCAAUCAAGAUGUGAAAUAUUCUACAACUUUUCAAUGGUUACAUGGUAUUGACUGAAUGAAUGUACUAUAACUUAUUUAAUAGUCUCUUACUACUGAACAUUUAUGAAAUUUCUAUUGUUUUCCUAUUACAUAUAAUGCAACAAUAAACUUCCUUUUAAAUAAGUUUAGUUCACUUCUGUAACAAUUUUAUCAAACUUUAUUAGUAGAAACAAGUUUCCGGUACAUUUUCUGAAAUUUUGAUUCAUAUAUCAUAUUCUUUCCUGU